ACAUGAUAAAAAGACCAUUCUGUUUCUAUUAGAAAAUAAUUAGGAGUACUGGCAGUUAAUAGUAUAAAAAGAAAGUUUAGAAUGACCUGUCAACGAGACUCCAGAAUGACCAGUAUAUUUUCCACCAUAACGGUCGGUCACGAACUUGAAGCGAUAUAUUGCUGAAUCACUUUCUCUCAGCUGGUUUAUUCUGAAAGUGCAGUCACUGUUCUUAUUCCCCAGGUACUCCACACGGUCAGAGUACUCUGGGUCAUUGGACAGGUCUUUACCCUCCUGUUUACUGUUCCAGGUGUAACCUGUUAGAAAAAAUAGCAACGCUUUAAAGGGGUCCUAUAGCUUUUAGGCUCCCUACCUAAUGGGUUAGGAGGACUUGUUUUGCAUCCCUCAUUAGUUUUAUUGGCUGUAACAGGUAGUAAUGUCUUAAGAUUAUUCUGGAAAAUAGUUAGCCCCGCCCACUCCCAAGGACCUGGUUGAGACUGUCUGUCGCACAGGAGAGAGUGCACAGCAAGAGGGGAGAACGGGAGAGAGAAUAAAACGAUCAGAAGUAGACAAUCAUAAUCGUUCAUUUAAGCAGUGAACCUCAAGAGCAGCUCCUUAAAUGACCCAGGUACCAAAUAUUUUCCAGAUCGCACACUUCCUUGGGAUCUUGGCUGGAUUUUUUGGAUACCCUAGAAGAAACCUGUGAACCUAGGAUUCUCUCCCUGACGGGGGAGAUGGCGAGCCGACCAGCUUGAUUCAUCUUCAUCCAUUGAGGAAGGACCCCCUGAUACCCCUUGUUUCUCCCAGCCCCACUCUGGUGUGGUAGGAUUGUGAUUCAGAAAUUACAUAAUUUUAUUUGAUACUUUAUUUUUUUUAAAAAGGGUGCACCCAACCAACAAAACUGACUUGAAACUAACUAAGUUGAACUAAACCAGACUGAACAGAAGACAUUCAGAACUUAAUUGACAGUGAAUACAGUUACAACACUCAGGACAUUGAUAUGAAGACAAAUGAAUGUGGUUGAAUGUGAUAACUAAAUGGCGGCUUUACUUGUUGUCAUUACACUUUCUUUAAUACAGUUCUAACCAUUUUGCACUUACUUUCUGGCUCCGGUUGUUCAUUGUGUCCAUCAUACACAAACACACUGCUCAGAAGUCCUUUAAAACACAGAUGUGUUGGCAACAUGACAGCUAAGGGAUACAAUUAACAAAACUUUACACACACACACGCGCACACACACACACAUGCGCACACAUACCCACGAACACAUGUAUACAUACACAUACAUACACACACACAUGCGCACACAUACACAAAUGCACACAAACACACACACACACACAAAUUCACGCACGCACACACACAAAUACACUGCUCAGAAAUCCUUUAAAACACAGAUGUGUUGGCAACAUGACAGCUAAGGGAUUCAAUAAACAAAACUUUAAAUAAACUGCACCUAACUUCUCCAAAACUAUGGAACAUCAAUUAUUGCACUUGUAUUUCAAUACUAACUGAUGUCAGUAGAUGGCAGUAGCCGCCAAUCAAUGUGAAAUUCGCAGGUACAGGAAGUUUUGCUUAGUAGCUAGCUUUGCUAGAAUGCAGUAGCAAACCAAGCAAGUUAAGAGCAAGUGUCUGUGUCAUUCUAAGAAUGCAGCAUGCACAAUCAACAGCCCUGAUCAUUUAGUAAAGCCACAGAUAUUUAUAUUAUGCCUCUGUCUCAGUUUUAAAGCUGAGUGUGAAGAGGAACUUCAUCUUAAAAGUUCUCUCUUGUUCCCCUCUCUUUUCAGAUGAGAAACUUUGCACUACUCUAAAAUAAUGUACUGUAUAACAUUCAUUUAUAUAUAUUAUAUACAUUCCUUAAUGCAAUUUAAAUGUAUUCACUUUUGUUGCUUCUGAUUGAGUUAAUGAAGGGAGACUAAUAAACAGGAACACAUGCUGAUAAAUGCUGUAUAUGCAGACUGAAACAUCAGAACUACAUUUGGAAAAAAACACACAAAUCAUUUACCUGACACAGAGAAGAUGAUUACCAACAAGGUAUUGAAGAGCAUGGCUGCAUCAGAUUGAAAAUAUUAAUACAAACACAUAUACAGGUCUUGAUUAUUACACUGUGAAAAUUAACAGCAGAAACAAAGACUGUCAGAGUAUUCUGUUAAUUGGCAGAAAUAGCAGAAUAACAAUUACUAUACAAGCACACACAGUGAGUUUAUGUGCUGCUAAUGCCUAAAAAUGCUUUGGGUUUUAUGAAGAGUUCACAAAGAUUCCAGAAAGCAGAGACUCAAACAGCCUUUUACUUGAUGAAUGAUAUUUGUAUUGAAGGGGCUGUUUUCUUUAGUUUUCACCUUCUUUACACUCUCAGUUCUUUUUAUGAGACAGCUUUAUUAUACUCCUUUUUCUGUUCGGUUUUGCCCUUUUCGCUGGGUAGUUUUUUGUUAGUAUUUAACGGCAGGACUUACCGCCCAGAGGAGUAUAUUAUUCUGUUCUGUCUAGUUUAAAUACUCCUUGUACUUUAGUUCUUAUCACCCUUUCAUGGGUGGACUACUUAGUCCGAUAUACCUGGGAUAUUCUCCCUUAGGAGUAUUUAAUUUUCUGUUUGUUUACUUGUCCCGUUCCUCUAGUCUUCCGAGACCUUGUGGUUACUCCACCCUGUGUGGAUAGCUUUCAGAUUCCCGUUCAGUCGCGUCUGGUUCUCCGAACCCCCCCCCGCCCAUCACACCUGUGGGAUGUUUUUUUAAAGUACCUGUUUAGUGGUUUUCCUGCACAUGUUCUAUUCCAUCAGUAGAACCCAGGGGGUAACACCUACAGUACAAAAUUCUUCAAGCAUAGGUUUAUUUUAUUUGUUUCAUUGAAUGAUUGUUUAAAAAAUUCAAGGUAUGCUCUGAAUUCUAACGUUUGGUAGUACAAAAAUAAACACUAAGAAUGUGAAAAGCAAAUUCACCUCAUGUGAAUUUAUACUCUAGAUGGGAUCAGUUCUGUAAUAAGCACAAUAUAAUCACAAAAUGUGCACAAGAAUAUCAUAGUAAUGUAAAUGUUAUACAAGUAUUAACAAAAA